CAGUAGCCGCGGUAAUACGAAGGGGGCUAGCGUUGUUCGGAAUCACUGGGCGUAAAGCGCACGUAGGCGGACUUUUAAGUCAGGGGUGAAAUCCCAAGGCUCAACCUUGGAACUGCCUUUGAUACUGGAAGUCUUGAGUUCGGGAGAGGUGAGUGGAACUGCGAGUGUAGAGGUGAAAUUCGUAGAUAUUCGCAGGAACACCAGUGGCGAAGGCGGCUAACUGGUCCAUAACUGACGCUGAGGUGCGAAAGCGUGGGGAGCAAACAGGAUUAGAUACCCCAGUAGUCCCUGUCUCUUAUAC
rnacentral:rRNA from 1 species